rnacentral:rRNA from 1 species
AACGAACGCUGGCGGCAGGCCUAACACAUGCAAGUCGAGCGAGGACUUCGGUUCUAGCGGCGGACGGGUGAGUAACGCGUGGGAAUGUGCCCUUCUCUACGGAAUAGCCCUGGGAAACUGGGAGUAAUACCGUAUACGCCCUAUUGGGGAAAGAUUUAUCGGAGAAGGAUCAGCCCGCGUUGGAUUAGGUAGUUGGUGGGGUAAUGGCCUACCAAGCCGACGAUCCAUAGCUGGUUUGAGAGGAUGAUCAGCCACACUGGGACUGAGACACGGCCCAGACUCCUACGGGAGGCAGCAGUGGGGAAUCUUAGACAAUGGGGGCAACCCUGAUCUAGCCAUGCCGCGUGAGUGAUGAAGGCCUUAGGGUUGUAAAGCUCUUUCAGCUGGGAAGAUAAUGACGGUACCAGCAGAAGAAGCCCCGGCUAACUCCG